rnacentral:rRNA from 1 species
UGAGGAAUAUUGGACAAUGGGCGCAAGCCUGAUCCAGCCAUGCCGCGUGCAGGAAGAAGCAUCUAUGGUGUGUAAACUGCUUUUGUACGGGAAGAAACACUCCUUCGUGAAGGAGCUUGACGGUACCGUAAGAAUAAGGAUCGGCUAACUCCGUGCCAGCAGCCGCGGUAAUACGGAGGAUCCAAGCGUUAUCCGGAAUCAUUGGGUUUAAAGGGUCCGUAGGCGGUUUAGUGAGUCAGUGGUGAAAGCCCAUCGCUCAACGAUGGAACGGCCAUUGAUACUGCUAGACUUGAAUUACAAGGAAGUAACUAGAAUAUGUAGUGUAGCGGUGGAAUGCUUAGAUAUUACAUGGAAUACCAAUUGCGAAGGCAGGUUACUACUUGUGGAUUGACGCUGAUGGACGAAAGCGUGGGGAGCGAACA